rnacentral:rRNA from 1 species
UACGUAGGUGGCAAGCGUUGUCCGGAAUUACUGGGCGUAAAGGGCUCGUAGGUGGCCAACUAAGUCAGACGUGAAAUCCCUCGGCUUAACCGGGGAACUGCGUCUGAUACUGGAUGGCUUGAGUUCGGGAGAGGGAUGCGGAAUUCCAGGUGUAGCGGUGAAAUGCGUAGAUAUCUGGAGGAACACCGGUGGCGAAGGCGGCAUCCUGGACCGACACUGACACUGAGGAGCGAAAGCCAGGGGAGCAAACGGG